AAGAAUAGGAGGGACAGGAGGGACAAAGAGGGACAGACAGGGACAGGAGGGACAGACAGGGAGAGGAGGGACAGACAGGGACAGACAAGAAUAGGAGGGACAGGAGGGACAAAGAGGGACAGACAAGAAUAGGAGGGACAGGAGGGACAGACAAGAAUAGGAGGGACAGGAGGGACAGGAGGGACAGACAGGGAGAGGAGGGACAGACAGGGAGAGGAGGGACAGACAGGGACAGACAAGAAUAGGAGGGACAGGAGGGACAGACAAGAAUAUGAGGGACAGACAGGGAGAGGAGGGACAGACAGGGAGAGGAGGGACAGACAGGGAGAGGAGGGACAGACAAGAAUAUGAGGGACAGACAGGGAGAGGAGGGACAGACAGGGAGUGGAGGGACAGGAGGGACAGACAGGGACAGAGAGGGACAGAUAGGGACGGACAGGGAGAGAGAGGGACAGACAGGAACAGACAGGAAAGACAGGGACAGACAGGGGCAGGAGGGACAAACAGGGACAGACAAGAACAGGAAGGACAGACAGACAAGAACAGGAAGGACACACAGACAGGGAUAGGAGGGACAGACAGGACAGACAGGGCCAGGAGGGACAGACAGAGACAGGAGGGACAGACAGAGACAGGAGGGACAGACAGAGACAGGAGGGACAGACAGAGACAGGAGGGUUACACAAGGAUUGUUCCUAGAAUUUCAAAGCAAACAGCUGGAGGCAGGGCUUUCUCCUAUAGAGCUCCAUUUUAUGCAAUGGUCUGCCUAUCCAUUUGAGAGAUGCAGACUUGGUUUAUUUUGGGGUGGCAGGGUAGCCUAGUGUUUAGUGUGUUUGGCUGGGCAGCAGGUAGCCUGGUGGUUAGAGUGUUGGGCCAGUAACUGAAAGGUUGCUGGAUCGAAUCCCCGAGCUGACAGGGUACAACAUCUGUCAUUGUAAAUAAGAAGUUGUUCUGAACUGACUUUCUUGGUUAAAUAAAGGAGUGGAAAGGCUGGAGCAACGAACCGUCCUUGUUGUCUCUGCCUGGCCGGCUCCCCUCUCUCUCCACCGGGAUUCUCUGCCUCUAUUACAGGGGCUGAGUCACUGGUGCUCUUCCAUGGCAUCCCUAGACGGGGUGAGUCACUGACGUGGUCUUCCUGUCCGGGUUGGCGCCCCCCCUCGGGUUCAUGCCGUGGCUAUACUCGGCUUUGUCUCAGGAUGAUAAGUUGGUGGUUGAAGAUAUCCCUCUAGUGGUGUGGGGGCUGUGCUUUUUCAAAGUGGGUG
rnacentral:lncRNA from 1 species